AAUUGCCAGUAAACCUUAUACAACUUUCAACAACGGAUCUCUUGGCUCUCGCAUCGAUGAAGAACGCAGCGAAAUGCGAUAAGUAAUGUGAAUUGCAGAAUUCAGUGAAUCAUCGAAUCUUUGAACGCACCUUGCGCUCCUUGGUAUUCCGAGGAGCAUGCCUGUUUGAGUGUCAUG
rnacentral:rRNA from 1 species